UUGUAAGUGAUGUAACAAGCCCUCCAGAAACACGGGCUGCUGACUGCUUAAAAUGAAGCAGUUUCUCACUAUAGCAGAGCGUAAAAUCUGGACUUCCAAGAAAAGCCUCCGACCCGGCAGCUGUUACUGCAUGAUUUCAGUGGCACAAAGAUCUCAGUGAGAGUUCUAUGCUCCUCCUCCCCGCCUUGCCAGGAGCCACAGACAAGCCACAUUUGAAGUUUCUGCAGGAACGGGUGCAUGUCACGUCUGAUUGAUUCCACGUUACUGGGCGAGGCAAGUUCUGGGGGCUGCCCCAAAUCAAUGGAGCUGGAACCUGCACUUCUUCCCCGUCACCUCAAAGACACUCUGACGCUAAGAAAAGCUGAGCAACUUGACAAAGACCCAGAGCUGGAAAACAGAAAGUUGGGAUUCGGACACAAAUCUAGUGAGGUGUGCCCAGGAUGUCAUUUCCUACAAAUGGCCUCUCAGCCCAUCCAUAUGGAUCCAAAAGAUCAAAGGAGAAAAUGAGUCCCACAGCAGUGUUCCGAACACGGCCUGUCGUCAGACACCGAGCAAAAUUAGAUCAAGUCUCCUCUUUCCAAACACGUCUCUCCCUUUCUGCCCCUCCAGAGAGGCCCUUCAUCUUUAUUUUCAUUCAGUGCUAAAAUAUUUUCUAACGG